CAAAAACAUCUCUUUUUGACACAUAAAAAGUACCGUCUGCUCAAUGCAAUUUGUAAAUAGCCGCAGUAUUCUGACUGUGCUAAGGUAGCAUAAUCAUUAGUCUUUUAAUUGAAGGCUGGUAUGAAUGACGAGACGAGAAAAUAGCUGUCUCUAAAAUAAAUCUUGAAUUUUAUUUCUAAGUGAAAAAGCUUAGAUAAUUUUAAAGGACGAUCAGACCCUUUGGAGCUUUAUUUAUUUUAAAUUUUAAUUUAUUUUAGAUUAUUGAAUGAAUAAUAAAUUUUGUUGGGGCGACAGAGAGUAAUAAAUACCACUCUUUUUUUUAAACAAUUAUAAUUGAAAAAUUGAUCCUUAAAGUAAGAUUAAAAGACUAAGUUACCCUAGGGAUAACAGCGUAAUCUUCUUGGAGAGUUCAAAUCGAUAAGAAGGUUUGCGACCUAGAUGUUGGAUUAAGAGAUUGACAAGGUGCAGAAGUUUUGUUGGAAAGUCUGUUCGACUUUUAAUUUCUUACAUGAUCUGA
rnacentral:rRNA from 1 species